UCGAGCCGGAUGAUGAAAAAUUAUCAUGUCCGGUUCCUCCGAGGGAUGGAUCUAUAAGAAUUCACCUAUCCCAAUAGGGGUGUUCAUCGAAUCGAAUAUCGAAUUUUCGAAUUAUUCGAAUCGAAUUGUUCGAAUAAUUUUUAUUUUUCCUUGAAUUCGUAUUCGAUUCGAAU
rnacentral:ncRNA from 1 species